AUCCUCACAGUAACGCCGGUUCUGGUGUCAAAUCCCGCUUCCUUCAGCCAGUCGCCUUUAAGCUGGAGGCUGGGGCUUUGUGAGUAACGAGUGGGGACUUUGGUUUUACGGUUGGUGUGGCAGAUGCCA
rnacentral:sRNA from 1 species